AGAAAUUUUAUUCAUUGUUGUUUGUUUUGGUCUUCAUUUUGAAUAGGACCAAUGGCAUCAUGGGGUGAUGUCUUGACUUGCUUGUGAAUUGUAUUUAAGUGAUACAGAGUUGCCCCAAAUCAUUAGUCUCAGUCUCUCUUCUAGAGCCAUCAAAGACAAGUAUGAGACAAAAGUCAAAACAACUGGUGAUGAAUCAAGAUGGAUGACCUUGGCAUCUUCAAUGUCUGACCAAGCCCUCAGUGGCCUACAGAACCUCCUUUAGUAGCCUUCAUGAUCAUUGGAACAAUUUUUUCUCACCUGCCCAUUCCUCCAGGGGAAGUCUUCACAUGCUUGAAGUCUCAGAGUCAUAGCAGAUUUAGUCACCAAAGAUGGAUGAGCAGACCUGAAAAGAACUUGGUAAACCCUGACCCCAGAGGUACUAGUCCUCCCUCCCUGAACAUCCUAUAUACUCCUUUUAUUUUGACUGCCUUUCCUCUGCCUUCCUGA
rnacentral:lncRNA from 1 species